AUACCUUCUCGACCUUUGUCUAAGAUAAAGUAUAAUAUUUGUUCUUAUUAGUUUAAUAUUUUAUAUGUGGACCAUAUGUUCACUUUGGUAUUAAACUUAUUUUUUAUAGGUAUCGAUCACACAUGUGCACCGUACUAAGUAGCUCUUUACGCCUAAGCUUGCGAUCCUUGCCCUACGCCACGUGCUGUUCCACGUCGUGGCCCUCUCU
rnacentral:snRNA from 1 species